rnacentral:rRNA from 1 species
UUAAGCAUAUUAAUAAGCGGAGGAAAAGAACUAACAAGGAUUCCCCUAGUAACGGCGAGUGAAGCGGGAUGAGCUCAAGCUUAAAAUCUCUGUGCCAGUUUGGCAUGGCGAAUUGUAGUCUAUGGAGGCGCUAUCAGUGCGAUUGUUCGGGGUAAGUUCCUUGGAAGAGGACAGCAUCGAGGGUGAUACUCCCGUUUGUACCUGUUCAGUCGCGCGUACGAUACGUUUUGUUUGAGUCGCGUUGUUUGGGAAUGCAGCGCAAAGUAGGUGGUAAAUUCCAUCUAAAGCUAAAUAUUGGUGCGAGACCGAUAGCGAACAAGUACCGUGAGGGAAAGAUGAAAAGAACUUUGAAAAGAGAGUUAAAGAGUACCUGAACUGCUGAAAGGGAACCGUUACGUUUCCAGUGUCUAUAAUCCAUGGUAUAUUUCAUUGGUGUGUGAGUGCGUGCAGCGUUUUGGAAGUAGUUUUCUGCUCCUGUCGUUGUUGUGCAUUCGCCUGCUGGUGCCCUGUGCUGUGGUGGGACGUCAGAGUCAGUUCGUAUGUUGCGGGAAAUGGUUAUUGGGGAGGUAGGUCACUUCGGUGGCUGUUAUAUCCUGAUAACUAGUCGUCGUGGCUGGGACUGAGGUGCCUACAAUGUGCUUUCGAGUCUGCGGGCUUCUCGUGUUGCUGUUUGCUUGGAUAGCUUGCUAUGUUUGUAAAUAAGUCGUGCGAUUGAGACCUGU